AGAGUUUGAUCCUGGCUCAGGAUGAACGCUAGCGGCAGGCUUAACACAUGCAAGUCGAGGGGCAGCACGGGUAGCAAUAUCUGGUGGCGACCGGCGCAAGGGUGCGUAACGCGUGAGCAACAUGCCCGUAUCAGGGGAAUAAUCCAGGGAAACUUGGUCUAAUACCCCAUAGUAAAUAUUAAAGGCAUCUUUAAUAUUUUAAAGCUUUGGUGGAUACGGAUUGGCUCGCGUGACAUUAGCUAGAUGGUAAGGUAACGGCUUACCAUGGCUACGAUGUCUAGGGGUUCUGAGAGGAAGAUCCCCCACACUGGAACUGAGACACGGUCCAGACUCCUACGGGAGGCAGCAGUGAGGAAUAUUGGACAAUGGAUGGAAAUCUGAUCCAGCCAUGCCGCGUGCAGGAAGACGGCCCUAUGGGUUGUAAACUGCUUUUAUAUGGGAGCAAUAAGACCUACGUGUAGGUUGAUGAGAGUACCAUAUGAAUAAGCACCGGCUAACUCCGUGCCAGCAGCCGCGGUAAUACGGAGGGUGCAAGCGUUAUCCGGAUUUAUUGGGUUUAAAGGGUGCGUAGGCGGUUUGAUAAGUCAGCGGUGAAAUAUUUCAGCUUAACUGGAAGGGUGCCGUUGAUACUGUCAGGCUUGAAUUUAGUUGCUGUGGGUGGAAUGUGUGGUGUAGCGGUGAAAUGCAUAGAUAUCACACAGAAUAUCGAUUGCGAAGGCAGCUCACAAAGCUAAUAUUGACGCUGAUGCACGAAAGUGUGGGGAUCAAACAGGAUUAGAUACCCUGGUAGUCCACACUGUAAACGAUGAUAACUCGCUGUCGGCGAUACAUAGUCGGUGGCCAAGCGAAAGCGAUAAGUUAUCCACCUGGGGAGUACGACCGCAAGGUUGAAACUCAAAGGAAUUGACGG
rnacentral:rRNA from 1 species